GAAUAAGAUGAUUGGCUAUUUUUGCAGUUCGUCAUAUAGGAGGCAGGGCUGUCGGAGAUAGCCGUCCUUUUAGGGCCAUAAUUGAGGCGGGCAGGACGGCAUGUGUGGGCGUGAUAGGGUGAUUGUGUCACAGAAAGCAAGAUUGACAGGAGUGACAGCUCCAUUUAUUGGCUGCUAGAGUCUAGUCAGCAAAAGGGCAUUCAGGGCCACCGACUGGCUCUGCUGGCGGCCUGAGCAGUCGGCGCCUGUAAUGCAUGAAGCCCUGGAGUCAUGGUAAAUAGCAUCUCUUGUGCUUCAGGAAUUUUAUCCAACAUGGAGGAUGAAGAGAUUUCUCCUGCUUCUCCAUAUGCAUGAGCAAAGCGGGGGGAGAAAACGUUGGCAAUGAAGGAAAGAAGUGCCAUGGCGGGGAGUCUAAUCAAGUGACAAACUGCUGAGCUGACUCAAAACACGAGCUGUUCAUCGGAGAUAGAUCAGGAGCGUCACGGUGGGUUCGGCUGGAUGAGUGAGUCAUUUUCUUCAAGUACGUUGGAAUGAACACUUCUCAAAUGGGUUAAAGUGAAAUGACUGGGGCCACCAGGAUCAAUAUAGUGUAGAUUUCAUGCCUGUCUAAUCACGGACACAAGAGAAGGUGCCAGUUUUCUUUCUCUAGUAUGUAAGUGUAUCUCUUUCUUAAGCAAUUCUGUAGUCAAGGCUAUUUGUGUUUCCAACAGAGACUUUGUGCUGGAUGGUUUUAAAUUGAAUCAGCAAGCUCAUAUAGAAAUAGAUUCAUUCAUUCCUUUAUCAGGGGUCGCAACUGCAAAAUGAACCGCCAAUUUAUCCAGCAUAUGU